CCUACGGGAGUCAGCAGUGAGGAAUAUUGGUCAAUGGGCGAGAGCCUGAACCAGCCAAGUCGCGUGAGGGAGUACUUCCCUAUGGGUUGUAAACCUCUUUUGUCGGGGAGCAAAAGCCGGACGUGUCCGGCUGUGAGAGUACCCGAUGAAAAAGCAUCGGCUAACUCCGUGCCCGCCGCCGCGGUAAUCCGGAGGAUGCGAGCGUUACCCGGAUUUCUUGGGGUAAAAGGGUGCGCAGGCGGAUGUUAAAGUCAGCGGUCAAACCCUGGGGCUCAGCCGCAUCCAGCCGUUGAAACUGGGGAUCUAGAGGGUUGGAGAGGUAUGCGGAAUGCGUGGUGGAGCGGUGAAAUGCAUAGAUAGCACGCAGAACCCCGAUGGCGAAGGCAGCAUACCGGUGCACAACUGACGCUCAGGCACGAAAGCGUGGGUAUCGAACAGGAUUAGAUACCCUAGUAGUC
rnacentral:rRNA from 1 species